CCUUACCUACUCUUGACAUCCAGAGAAGCCAGCGGAGACGCAGGUGUGCCUUCGGGAGCUCUGAGACAGGUGCUGCAUGGCUGUCGUCAGCUCGUGUUGUGAAAUGUUGGGUUAAGUCCCGCAACGAGCGCAACCCUUAUCCUUGUUUGCCAGCGAGUAAUGUCGGGAACUCCAGGGAGACUGCCGGUGAUAAACCGGAGGAAGGUGGGGACGACGUCAAGUCAUCAUGGCCCUUACGAGUAGGGCUACACACGUGCUACAAUGGCGCAUACAGAGGGCAGCCAACUUGCGAAAGUGAGCGAAUCCCAAAAAGUGCGUCGUAGUCCGGAUUGGAGUCUGCAACUCGACUCCAUGAAGUCGGAAUCGCUAGUAAUCGUAGAUCAGAAUGCUACGGGAAUACGUGCCCGGGUCUGUAUCACACCGAA
rnacentral:rRNA from 1 species